CAGUCGCCGCGGGAAAACGAAGGGUGCAAGCGUUAAUCGGAAUUAUUGGGCGUAAAGGGCUCGCAGGCGGUUUCUUAAGUCUGAUGUGAAAGCCCCCGGCUCAACCGGGGAGGGUCAUUGGAAACUGGGAAACUUGAGUGCAGAAGAGGAGAGUGGAAUUCCACGUGUAGCGGUGAAAUGCGUAGAGAUCGGAAGGAACAUCUGUGGCGAAGGCGACUAUCUGGGCCAACACUGACACUGAGGCACGAAAGCGUGGGGAGCAAACAGGAUUAGAUACCCCCGUAGUCCCUGUCUCUUAUAC
rnacentral:rRNA from 1 species